CUCUCUCUCUCUCUCUCUCUCUCUCUCUCUCUCUCUCUGUGCAUGCUGGGAGUGUGGAGCGUGAGCGAGUGACGGAACGAGUGCGUUAUAGUUCUUUAUUUAUUUUUAUUUUUUGUAAAUGUUAGAUUUUUUCAUCACAUAGCACAGUGGUUCUCAAAGUGGAGGAUGCUCGGACACUCUCCAGGGGGGGUGCAAUGUCACAGACAAAAAAAAAAAAAACACACACUAAAAAAAGACCGACCACCUGUCAAAGCUCCCUCAGUGGUGAAAUGCUAGGGGCUUGACUGACACAAACAAAUCAAACACUGUUUUGUUCCUGAUCCACCAAUCAAAAGAGGAGUGUUAUCAUUUGAAUGCGAGUUGUUCGUACACUUCCGAGUAUAAAAGUAACUGUAGGCAUGGUCAGCACUCAGCCUCUCUGAGACGACACCCUGCAGAGUUUGUGCAAUUUCUCUUGUUUCCUCUAUAAUUCAGAUAUUCAUUGCUUUAUAAACAGUCUUUUUAAAGACUCACUCCUUCAUUAGUAAUACCUUCCUGCACUUGCAGCAGGCCUAAUCGUAGCCUAAUCUAAGGAGUAAUUUGCUCCACAGUCUUUUUUUGAAAUUUCAUAGCCCCAAGAGCUAGCCUUCUAGCUAGCUAACUAAUUCCAACUGCAGCUAGCCCUUUUCUCCUUAACACCUACCUUUAUAUCUUCAUCCACCGUGUUGCAAUAAAUAAAACACCAGCACUUGAAUACUAUUCUGUUCUGUCCCUGUGUACAUUGUGUACUGUUCGUUUUGUUAGGAACCAUUGCCUAGCACAGCCUUAUUCAUUAUUUGCGUGCAAGUCGCUCACAGCCACACAUACAAACACACUCACAAGACCACAACGUUGCAAUUACAACUUUAUUAACAUCACACACACUGUAUCGGCAAACAAACACAAACAUGGACAAGUUUCUGAUUCGUAAAAGUCAGGCAACCGAUGCGCCAGUUGCGAAGAAGCCAAAGCUUCGCAAAUAUGACGACAGCCAUUUGCAGUUUGGUUUCACCGUUACUGGCUCGACUGACCAACGUCCUCGGUGUGUUUUGUGUGCCAAGCAUAGCACUGUCUCCAAGCUAUCUAUCUAUCUAUCUAUUUAUUGUGGUGAAGUUGAGGGCGGUGGUGGCGGGCGGCGCGGGGGAGAUGGCUACCCCUAACCAGCUUUGGAUGGGCCCAGCUUGCAAAAGUUUGAGAACCCCUGACAUAGCAUUCGAUUCACAGUAGUUUAUUUUCUGAUGGUUUGGGCUUUCUGAUGCGGGUGUCUUUCCCCUCACCAGCGUCUGGCUGGUGGUGUAGCAGCCAUCAUGGUCAGUGGGAAUUUUAAAUCACUAACAUGCAAGCACAGGGUUCAAAUAUGUGUAAGUUUCCCCUGCAGCAUGGAGAGCAUCGGGCUUGGUGUGGCGUGAAAGGUCGGUCAUAGCGGCGUGGUGUCGGCCGCCCCGAUGAACAGCGCGGUGGUCGUGUUCCUGGACCGGGUGGAGAAGGUGAACUCGGUGGUCGAGACAGGUAUCACAGUGAAUGGUUGUUUUGUACAUGUACUGCCUUUGUCCCAACCCACUGCCAAGGUGGUCCUGUCCAAUGUCCCUCCUUUCAUCACCGAUGAGUUCUUCAGUAGAGAUGUAUGGGGGACGGAAGGUAGCGUCCCCCAUACGGAAGCUGUUGUCUGGGUGUAAAUGCCCAAUACUGAAACACGUAGUGUCUCACCGCAGACAGCUGUAUAUGAUACUUAACAACCGUAACAAGGAGCUCAACCUCCGCUUCCAUGUGAAAGUAGAUGAUUACGACCACAGGAUUUUCGCAACGACAUCUGUGAUGAAGUGCUUCAGGUGCGGAGAGGAGGGACACAUGGGGAGAUCCUGUCCCAGCUCCGCCGGGUACUGAUGCGGCUGCGAGUGCUGGGGCGGUAUCGGAGCGACGGGCCUCCGCUGCGCCUCAGGUGCCGGAGCGAAGGAGACCCGCUGCACCGGUCGCCGGGGGGCUGGCCGCCGCAUCCGAUGGCCGACAGCUGCUCCACGGGCUUCUCCGCCAACAUCUCUGCGGAGAAGCGAGGCUGUGACCGAGCCAUCACAAGGGAAGAGUCCAACUCACAGCUCGCCGCCCCCCUCCGGAUGCAGGAGCUGCUGACCGACCUGCAGGGCUUUAACAAGAUGUGACAUCCUCUGCCCCUAACCCUCAAAAAGUGUAAGGAAAAACUACCCAAAAACCCCUAAAAGAAGGAAGAAACCUCAGAGAGAGCCACAUGUGAGGGAUCCCUCUCCCAGGAGGGACAGAAGUGCAAUAGAUGCCAUGUGUAAAGGAGAACAUCAGAAAGAUAAGGGUAUUUGUAGCAUUGAUUAGAAUAAACACUUUGUAGCAUAAUUGAAGGUCAAUGAAUUUAUGAAUUAUUGUGUGUCAUACUCUAUGAUGUACGUUGAGUGAGUGUAUUUGUUCCCAUGUUUGGAUGAGCUUGUCAGGACAAUGCUUUAUGGCCAUAUCUGCUUUGGUGAUCUGCUUAUCACUGUAGAGCCAGUUGCUCUGUAAUAUCACCAGUUCAUGCUGUCUUCCAGGUGCUGACUUCACAGCAGGAGGUAGAUGAGGAGAGCUGCUCCCCUUCUGUUGAAUCCAACAACAAUCACAGCUGGGAGGACAUAGAGCAGGAGGAAGUUCUCCCCAAUCUCAAAGAGGAACAUACACAUGGUGAGGAACCACAUCAUGUGUCUCAGACCCAGAUAAGGACCACCCCAGGCCAGAGGCAGGAGUCAUUUGGAGAGUGGGCGGCGGACUGUUUAGCAUGACUCGAAACGUUGUUGGUGCAACCCUGGGCGGUGUUGCAUGGGAGGUGUUGGAGCAGUGGGAUCUGCGGUUGCAAGUAAAGUCACACCAAGGAAGAAGGACAAAGCUGACUGAUGUGUGAUGGGUUGUGUGUGUGUGUGUGUGUGUGUGUGUGUGUGUGUGUGUGUGUGUGUGUGUGUGUGUGUGUAUAAUGCAACAAAAUACCUCAGAAGCUUUGAAUGGAUCUUCAUGUCAUCAUUAAUUUUCUCAUUACAUUUAUUUAUUCAUGAGGACAACACUAAUUAAUCCAUAUUAGUGGAAAUAUACCAGUAUUUGCCAGUUGACAGAUUUUCAAAUGUGGUUUUAACUGCAGAUGUUUUGAUAACCAGUACCUUAUUUGCCCAGAUGUUGCCAGGAGCAAUACUUUGGUGAUAAAUCCAAAAAACAAAGACAAAAACUACAAAAACGGCAUAAAUGACAGAAAUAUCACAAAGUGAGAUUUGACAAGACAAAACCCAUCCACAGCUGUACAAAACCACAGAACAUUAAAACAGUGAUACAACUUCAACAAAUACCAACACAAACAACAGACAACCCUGGCAAAAGGCAGAAGACAAGUUCGCUACAGGUAGGAUGACAAGAGCAGUUACAAAUAAUCAAAUUAUGUAUUUUAGCUGUGCAUUCAUGCUACAAAGAUACGAAUCAAGUGAAACAAGUAUUCAAUACUGGAGAGUAGGGAAAGGUAUAACUGCAUGUAAAUGUGCCAUAGUGCAAGUCAUCGACACAUGUUUAAAGGGGACAUAUUAUGCCCAUUUUACCACAGUUGAUAUGGUUCCUCGGGGUCUUAAUGAAAUGUCUUUAACAUAUUUUGGUCGAAAUACCUAAAGGAUCAAUCAAAACAGCACCCUUUUUACCCUUGCUAAAACAACCCUCCUCAGAUUGACCUGUUUUGAGUGCCCCCCCGGCCGGGGGGAGCCUCUAGAGAGCUCCCACUGCUCUCGAGCCCGGCUCCCGGCUAGCAUUAGCUCGCGAGCUAACCGGGCCAGUGGAGCCCGGCUAGCGUUAGCUCGGGACGCUCGCCCAAGGCCAUGUAGUGAGACUCCCUACAUGGGCAUGGUGUGACUAUGACGUUUAUUUCAGUCGUAAUCCCAUUCGACGCACUCUAGCGUAUCGUUUCUGACAAAGAGGAACCACAACAAAUCGCGGGAGUUGUUUUUUUCCAGAGUUUUUGGGAAGUUAGACAUGCCAGAUACCCAAAUUAACGUGUAGAAGCACUACAAAAGUGGAAUUUUCAUAAUAUGUCCCUUUUAAAAGCUCAAGAUUAAGUGAGAGCUUCACACAGCCGUAACAUUUUCCCUCAACUCGAUAGGAUCCAAGUACAGUGUUGCACGUAUGUUACUAAGGAGUCUGUGUACAGCUCAGUUUUACUUUGGUUGUACUUGCUGUUACAUGGUCUGAACACAUUUACCUACACUGUGCACACAUUAAUCAGACAUACUGACCCUGUUCAAGACUGGUAUUAACAUCACUACCCAAACCCUAACCCUCUGACAAUCAAAGUGGACAGCUGUGAGUGCAAGUGUCAAAACCCCCAACACUCACUGAUGACCAUUUGGAGGUGGCCACAUUGUUUGAGCAGUAUGUACGCAAAUGUGUGAAGGCCAAAUUGAAAGACCGCCUGCUCAGCUGGCGUCUUUUGACCCAAUAAAGUUUCAAUUUUCUUCAUGUCUCUCUCACAAAUAUAAACACACGGAAAACCGAUCUUCCUGUCAUCGUCAGACUGGAUGUUUGCACGAAAAUUUAUUCGAUUUUUCUUGUAGCACCUGUAAAGAUAGAUUGAAGAAUAAUGUUAUCUGCUGGAAACUCUUGAGUUGUGUCAUUACAUCAACAAACUGAAAAAAAGAACAGAGCAACACUAUUUAAAAUGAGGUUUGAAAGUAUCCAACAGCAGACACUUAGUAAAGUGUAUGAUACCAUGAAGUAAAGUUAGACUCUAUAUCAGAAGUACAUUUUAGGUCAUAGACAAACAAAAAUAAUUAAUACAAUUUGUAUUUCUGGAUCUUCUGUUAAAUGUACUCGGUUCUUCCUUGGUUCAUGCCCCAUCCCCUCGAAAAACAAAUGCUGAUGAAACUACCUGGUGGUGAUAAAAAGAUAAAACAUAAUUUGGGCUAAAUAUAAAAGCAAAUGUAUGUUGCACAAUGUUGCAAUGUUGUGUUUUUGUUAAGUGCACACACACACACACACACACACACACGCACAUACAUACUUAUUUGAUUAAAAAAUACCCCCACCAAUGUUAAAAAAAAUGUAUGCUACAGUAAACUACUGAAUCUGAAAAAAACAUGCUACUGCUGAAUAUGUUUGGUUUUACUGUGUUCAUUCACAGGUUAAACAGUUGGUUGCUCUCCACAUUAUAAAUGAAAUCUUGUAAUGCAAACAACACUAAAAAAUUAUAAUAUUUGCCAGAAACAACAGCAAUAUCACAUCUCAAAGUGUAAAUGCAAUAUGUACAUUUGAAAUUUAAAUUUGUGUGGACUUUGUGGACCUGAGCAAUAACACUUCAUUAAUGUGUCCGUGAUUUUCUGGAGCUUUGAUUAGUUAGUGUUAGUUAUGAGUCAGUGCUAAUUUCAUUAAGCCCCAAUUCAUUAAUUCCAUUUGUUUGCGUAACUGAAAAUCUUAAAACGAACAUAGUGGCGCCAGUGAACAUGCAAAACAAAAACUUGUUAGUACAACGAUUCUUCAUCUAGGGGGAAAGCAUUUCAGUUGUAAAUGAAUAAUUAAUAUUUGUAUAGGUUUGAAAUUAUGUCUUUCCUGGACAUUACUAUUUCCUUAUAUUUACUUUCCAGAAUACAGCAAACAAACUGAAGCACUGCUUCCAGCACUGAGAGACAAGUGAAUGUUGAACUACUAUUGGUCAGGUGGCUUCAAGCAACACUUCACUGUGAUGAUGUGGCUCUGUAUCUUCUGGGUGUUUGUCUGGGUGUUUAAUGAGCUGACAGAAUAUCACAGCUGUAUUUUUGCAAAAUAAAAAUUGUCACAUUUAGUGAACGGAGGAGUUAUGAAGAAGACAUAACACACCUGCAAAAUUGAGUAUGGAGACCGAACUAUGUUGGCAUUUGUUUGAAUUUUGUAAUUGCACUGUUUCUGUGAAGCUACAUUUCUAUAAGUGAGUGGAAAUUCUUUUGCAUUUGCUGCAUGCCUAAAAGCAGUGUUUUACACAAUCGGCUGUUCACUCUUUUACUUUUAGCCUGAUACCCUCCAUUCCUCUUUCUGAUGGUUUGUAACCCUGAGACUUUUCAGACCAAGCAAUUUUAUGUAUUAUAGAAUUAUUUUUGCAGAUGUGAUUAGACUGUAAACUGUAAAUAAAAACAGCAGUGUUUUCUUUCA